rnacentral:rRNA from 1 species
GUUUGGCACCUCGAUGUCGGCUCGUCGCAUCCUGGGGCUGGAGUAGGUCCCAAGGGUUGGGCUGUUCGCCCAUUAAAGCGGUACGCGAGCUGGGUUUAGAACGUCGUGAGACAGUUCGGUCCCUAUCCUCUGCGCGCGUUGGAAAUUUGAGAAGGUCUGUCCUUAGUACGAGAGGACCGGGACGGACGAACCUCUGGUAUGUCAGUUGUACCGCCAGGUGCAUGGCUGAUUAGCUACGUUCGGGAUGGAUAACCGCUGAAAGCAUCUAAGCGGGAAGCCGGCUUCGAGAUGAGAUUUCCUUUC